rnacentral:misc_RNA from 1 species
UCUUUGACCCCAAUCUAAUAAUGUCCUUCUUUCAUAAACCAUCAAAACGCGGGGAUUCAAGACUCUGACGUCAGACAUUGGUCUGC